AAGUCGUAACAAGGUCUCCGUAGGUGAACCUGCGGAGGGAUCAUUAACACUAUUUGGUUCUUAGAGAGCAAUCUCUAAGUUCCAAAUUAAAACCAACCACACCACGUGAACUCGGUUCUGCUUGCAGAUCCAAUCUCUCCCUUUGAAAUUGAAAGACUUGGAUCCGAUGUGUAGUGGGGGUAUUGCACCCCAUCUGUCCAAGUUAGCAUAGCCCUCACGGGGGAUUAUGGACUUUCACUUUCUUAGGCAAUUCUUGAAAUGUAGCCGCUACAGCAUUGCCCUCUCUCUAACUAUUAUUGUCUAACCACAAUUUUCACCCCUUCGUACUCCAAUUGACUGAUUAUGUUGAGCCAACCGAAAGGUUGAUUCUUCACAAGAUUUUCUAAUCUAAGCACAACUCUUAGCAACGGAUAUCUUGGUUCUC
rnacentral:misc_RNA from 1 species